rnacentral:tRNA from 3 species
AGUUAUUUAGCUUAAACAUAAAGCAUAUAUUUUGAAAAUAUAAGAUAGUUAAAUUUAAUAACUU